rnacentral:rRNA from 1 species
GACGUAGGAUGCAAGCGUUGUCCGGAUUUAUUGGGCGUAAAGAGUUCGUAGGUGGUUCGUUAAGUCUGAUGUUUAAAGACUGGGGGCUCAACCCUGGGAGUGCAUUGGAUACUGGCGGACUGGAGUGCAGUAGAGGCAAGCGGAAUUCCCAGUGUAGCGGUGAAAUGCGUAGAUAUUGGGGAAGAACACCGGUGGCGCAAGCGGCUUGCUGGGCUGUAACUGACGCUGAGGAACGAAAGCUAGGGGGAGCGAACAGG